GACGAACGCUGGCGGCGUGCUUAACACAUGCAAGUCGAACGGAAAGGCCCUGCUUUUGUGGGGUGCUCGAGUGGCGAACGGGUGAGUAACACGUGAGUAACCUGCCCUUGACUUUGGGAUAACUUCAGGAAACUGGGGCUAAUACCGGAUAGGAGCUCCUGCUGCAUGGUGGGGGUUGGAAAGUUUCGGCGGUGGGGGAUGGACUCGCGGGUUAUCAGCUUGUUGGUUGGGUAGUGGCUUACCAGGGCUUAGACGGGUAGCCGGCCUGGGAGGGUGGCCGGCGACAAUGCGCCUGAGGUAGGGACCAGAGGCGUACGGGAGGCAGCAGGGGGAAAUAUUGCACAGUGGGGGGAAGCGUGAGGCAGAAGUGUUGCGAGCGGGAAGACGGCCUUGGGGUGGUAAACCGCUUCUGCCUGAGACGAAGCGGGAGUGACGGUAAUGGGAGAAGAAGCACCGGCUAACUACGUG
rnacentral:rRNA from 1 species